rnacentral:rRNA from 1 species
GAUGAACGCUGGCGGCGUGCCUAAUACAUGCGAGUCGAGCGAACAGAUGAGGAGCUUGCUCCUCUGACGUUAGCGGCGGACGGGUGAGUAACACGUGGAUAACCUACCUAUAAGACUGGGAUAACUUCGGGAAACCGGAGCUAAUACCGGAUAAUAUAUUGAACCGCAUGGUUCAAUAGUGAAAGACGGUUUUGCUGUCACUUAUAGAUGGAUCCGCGCCGCAUUAGCUAGUUGGUAAGGUAACGGCUUACCAAGGCAACGAUGCGUAGCCGACCUGAGAGGGUGAUCGGCCACACUGGAACUGAGACACGGUCCAGACUCCUACGGGAGGCAGCAGUAGGGAAUCUUCCGCAAUGGGCGAAAGCCUGACGGAGCAACGCCGCGUGAGUGAUGAAGGUCUUCGGAUCGUAAAACUCUGUUAUUAGGGAAGAACAAAUGUGUAAGUAACUAUGCACGUCUUGACGGUACCUAAUCAGAAAACCACGGCUAACUACGUG